UACUUCUAUCCAGUUUUUUUC
rnacentral:piRNA from 1 species